rnacentral:rRNA from 1 species
CCUACGGGAGACAGCAGUGAGGAAUAUUGGUCAAUGGGCGCAAGCCUGAACCAGCCAAGUCGCGUGAGGGCAGACGGCCCUACGGGUUGUAAACCUCUUUUGCCGGGGAGCAAGCCUGAGCACGUGUGCCCAGGCGGAGAGUACCCGGAGAAAAAGCAUCGGCUAACUCCGUGCCAGCAGCCGCGGUAAUACGGAGGAUGCGAGCGUUAUCCGGAUUUAUUGGGUUUAAAGGGUGCGUAGGCGGGCUGUUAAGUCAGCGGUCAAAUGUCGGGGCUCAACCCCGGCCUGCCGUUGAAACUGGCGGCCUCGAGUGGGCGAGAAGUAUGCGGAAUGCGUGGUGUAGCGGUGAAAUGCAUAGAUAUCACGCAGAACUCCGAUUGCGAAGGCAGCAUACCGGCGCCCUACUGACGCUGAGGCACGAAAGCGUGGGUAUCGAACAGGAUUAGAUACCCUUGUAGUC